rnacentral:rRNA from 1 species
AUACGUAGGUGGCAAGCGUUAUCCGGAAUUAUUGGGCGUAAAGGGUGCGUAGGCGGUUUAUUAAGUCUAUGGUGAAAGCGUGGGGCUCAACUCCAUACAGCCUAAGAAACUGGUCAACUAGAGUGCAGAAGAGGGUAGUGGAAUUCCAUGUGUAGCGGUAAAAUGCGUAGAUAUAUGGAGGAACACCAGUGGCGAAGGCGGCUACCUGGUCUGUAACUGACGCUCAAGCACGAAAGCGUGGGGAGC